rnacentral:lncRNA from 1 species
CCGGGGUGGCCGUCAGUCAUCACAGGCCUGUUUGGUCCCAAUAUCCUUGUUUUGCAAAGAGCAGUUCCUGAAAUCUCGCCGACUCGAGCUUUGCUCAUCUUUGAUUGGGGCAUUUUCAGCCGCUGAGGCCAAAAAUAACAAACACAGGCGGUGCCUUGCUGAGCACGGCCCCCGUUCUGGCCCUUUCUGUGUGGCCGGUGGCAGCUGGGUUGCCAGGCUCCAGGCUCGCGGAGUCUGUCUCCAUCCCCGAUGCAUCUGUCCUCAGACCCGGGCGUGCCGACGGGCAUGUCCAGCCCGACCUUCCGGGUUCCUAGACCCGGGUGGGGCUCAGGGACAUGGGCCCCGGAGGGUGCGUGCUGCCCCGUCUGUUUGCCUGUCUGGAAAAUUGCAUUAGGCCGGGUCACAUCUGCAUCACACAGGUCUCACCUGCACAAGGUGCACCUGUUGUGGACCAUUUGCGUGAACGCCGCCUACCGCCUACGUGGCAUCCUCUGUUUCACGCUCCCCUGGCCUGGACCCGCCUGAUGAGAACGCGUUGUCACCUCCGCUCUAGAACUGCCUGUGUGGCCUCAGCGGGUCUUGUUUUCUACCGCCCAGGGCGGCUGGAGAGACCCGGAGCCCAGGGAGUAGGGAGAAGUCGCGCACCCUACCCUACCGCCCCUGGGGGCCUCUGCAUUCCUGAGAUUCACCAUUCUGACCGGCUGUGGAUUAACCCUGGGGGCAAGAGCGUGACCUGGCCUCUCCAGCUUCCAUAACGCCGCAGAGCUACGUGUCUGGAUACGGGUUGUCUAGGUGGAGGCUGGGUUUAAGGGCUCUUCUGUCUGGCCCUGGCCCCGGGAAGACCUCUGCAACACCCCCUCUUGGCCUCGUCUUGAAAGACUCAGCCCAGAGGCCUCCACUUCCAAGAAGUCUUCCUUGAUUCUCUCCUCCUCUCCUUUCCGUCCCAGGCUUCCCUUUGCCCCUGUAAGGACCGUGCUACUUUGUCCCAGUCUCUUUCCAGGUCUGUCUCCCCAGUUUGCCUGUGGGACCUGAUGGCCGGGAGCCUGGAAGGCAGAGCGGAGAUGGGAGGGCCAAGAUCG